rnacentral:rRNA from 1 species
UGUUGGUUUAAUUCGAUGCAACGCGAAAACCUUACCCACCUUUGACAUGUACGGAAUCCUUUAGAGAUAGAGGAGUGCUCGAAAGAGAGCCGUAACACAGGUGCUGCAUGGCUGUCGUCAGCUCGUGUCGUGAGAUGUUGGGUUAAGUCCCGCAACGAGCGCAACCCUUGUCAUUAGUUGCUACGAAAGGGCACUCUAAUGAGACUGCCGGUGACAAACCGGAGGAAGGUGGGGAUGACGUCAAGUCCUCAUGGCCCUUAUGUCCAGGGCUACACACGUGCUACAAUGGUCGCUACAGAGUGACGCGAAGCCGCGAGGUGGAGCAAAUCGCAAAAAAGCGACCUUAGUUCGGAUUGGAGUCUGAAACCCGACUCCAUGAAGGUGGAAUCGCUAGUAAUCGCGCAUCAGCAUGGCGCGGUGAAUACGUUCCCGGGCCUU